rnacentral:rRNA from 1 species
AGAGUUUGAUCCUGGCUCAGGAUGAACGCUAGCGGCAGGCCUAACACAUGCAAGUCGAGGGGCAGCACGGUGUAGCAAUACACUGGUGGCGACCGGCGCACGGGUGCGUAACGCGUAUGCAACCUACCCAUAACAGGGGGAUAACACUGAGAAAUUGGUACUAAUACCCCAUAACAUCAGGACCGGCAUCGGUUCUGGUUGAAAACUCCGGUGGUUAUGGAUGGGCAUGCGUUGUAUUAGCUGGUUGGUGAGGUAACGGCUCACCAAGGCAACGAUACAUAGGGGGACUGAGAGGUUAACCCCCCACAUUGGUACUGAGACACGGACCAAACUCCUACGGGAGGCAGCAGUGAGGAAUAUUGGUCAAUGGACGCAAGUCUGAACCAGCCAUGCCGCGUGCAGGAAGACGGCUCUAUGAGUUGUAAACUGCUUUUGUACGAGGGUAAACGCUCUUACGUGUAAGAGCCUGAAAGUAUCGUACGAAUAAGGAUCGGCUAACUCCGUGCCAGCAGCCGCGGUAAUACGGAGGAUCCAAGCGUUAUCCGGAUUUAUUGGGUUUAAAGGGUGCGUAGGCGGUUUGAUAAGUUAGAGGUGAAAUACCGGUGCUUAACACCGGAACUGCCUCUAAUACUGUUGAACUAGAGAGUAGUUGCGGUAGGCGGAAUGUAUGGUGUAGCGGUGAAAUGCUUAGAGAUCAUACAGAACACCGAUUGCGAAGGCAGCUUACCAAACUAUAUCUGACGUUGAGGCACGAAAGCGUGGGGAGCAAACAGGAUUAGAUACCCUGGUAGUCCACGCAGUAAACGAUGAUAACUCGUUGUCGGCGAUACACAGUCGGUGACUAAGCGAAAGCGAUAAGUUAUCCACCUGGGGAGUACGUUCGCAAGAAUGAAACUCAAAGGAAUUGACGGGGGCCCGCACAAGCGGAGGAACAUGUG